CACUUGUCGGUCGGUCUACUCUAGAACUUUCUCCAGUUGUCGGUCGGUCUACUCUAGAACUUUCUACAGUUGUCGGUCGGUCUACUCUAGAACUUUCUACAGUUGUCGGUCGGUCUACUCCAGAACUUUCUACAGUUGUCGGUAGGUCUACUCCAGAACUUUCUACAGUUGUCGGUAGGUCUACUCCAGAACUUUCUACAGUUGUCGGUCGGUCUACUCUAGAACUUUCUACAGUUGUCGGUCGGUCUACUCCAGAACUUUCUACAGUUGUCGGUCGGUCUACUCCAGAACUUUCUACAGUUGUCGGUCGGUCUACUCCAGAACUUUCUACAGUUGUCGGUAGGUCUACUCCAGAACUUUCUACAGUUGUCGGUAGGUCUACUCUAGAACUUUCUCCAGUUGUCGGUAGGUCUACUCUAGAACUUUCUCCAGUUGUCGGUAGGUCUACUCCAGAACUUUCUACAGUUGUUGGUAGGUCUACUCUAGAACUUUCUCCA